AGAGUUUGAUCAUGGCUCAGAACGAACGCUGGCGGCAGGCUUAACACAUGCAAGUCGAACGCUCGUGAGCGAUCACGGGAGUGGCAGACGGGUGAGUAACGCGUGGGAACAUACCCUCCGGUUCGGAAUAACCCAGGGAAACUUGGGCUAAUACCGGAUACGGCUGAGAGGCGAAAGAUUUUUUGCCGGAGGAUUGGCCC
rnacentral:rRNA from 1 species